AUUUUAAAAAGGGUUAUAAAAAUUAAGGACAUGUUUGGUUCACCUAUUUUAGACUAUGGAAUUAGAAUGAAAUUCAUUAAUUCUAAUAGUUGCCGUUUGUUUUAUAAGAAUCGAAUUUCGAUUUCCAUUCCACUCCGGAAUGUGAAUGACCAAAUUCAUUUAUGAUCUAAUCCGGCUUUAAAUCCCGGAUUGACUCAUUCCAAAGUAAACUAUUCAAAAUCCUCUUUUAUCAACACCUACCUUCUCUUCCUUCAUUACUUUUCUCUCUUUUAAUCAAAACUCUUUUUAAAUUUUCAUUCCGAUUUUCAUUCCAAUAAUAAACCAAACAUUUUUGGAUGAUUCGUCAUUCCAUUUCUCAUUCCUAUUCCAAUCAUAAACAAAAAAAUGCCUUAAAAAUAAUUAUUAAUAAUAAUAAUAAUAAUAAAAGACCCUCCACU
rnacentral:lncRNA from 1 species